ACCGUGCGGAGAAGACAACAAG
rnacentral:miRNA from 1 species